rnacentral:rRNA from 1 species
UACGAAGGGGGCUAGCGUUGCUCGGAAUCACUGGGCGUAAAGCGCACGUAGGCGGCUUUCUAAGUCAGGGGUGAAAUCCUGGAGCUCAACUCCAGAACUGCCUUUGAUACUGGAGAGCUUGAGUCCGGAAGAGGUGAGUGGAACUCCGAGUGUAGAGGUGAAAUUCGUAGAUAUUCGGAAGAACACCAGUGGCGAAGGCGGCUCACUGGCCGGUACUGACGCUGAGGUGCGAAAGCGUGGGGAGCAAACAGG